CAAUCAGAUACUGUGUAGUCUAUCUAUAACUAGCGACAGGACUGAAUGGAGAUAUCCAUUCAGUACUAUGGGAAUCAAGUCUUGGUUCUGGGGGAGUAUGUCGCAAGCUGAACUAAGAAAUGACGAAGGCAGCGGCGGGGGGUGGAGCUGCCGCCUCACUUUGACUCAACACGGGAACUAACAAGAACAAGACGAUGAGUGAGGAUGCAGAUGAUAGCUCUUUCUUGUCGCGGUGUGUCGUGCCGUCUUGGUUGGUGAAGUGAUUUGUCUGGUUAAUUCCGAUAACGAACGAGACCUUAACUGCUAACUAGUCUUUUCUAUUCCGAUAGACAUUGACUUCUUAGAGGGACUAUGUGCUCUAAGAGCGAAGAAGGAAAGAGGCAAUAACAGGUCUGUGAUGCCCUUAUAUGCCCUGGGCUGCACGCGUGCUACACUGAUGCAUACAACAAGUCCCAAGCCAGUCAUGGCAUGGUAAUCUCUAAUAUGCAUCGUGAUGGGGAUUGAUCUUUGCAAUUAUAGAUCAUGAACGAGGAAUUCCUAGUAAGUGCAAGUCAUCAUCUUGCAUUGAUUAUGUCCCUGCCCUUUUACACACCGCCUGUCGCUCCUACCGAUACCGGGUGAUCCGGUGAACCUGUGGACCCAUGGGAAAAAUAAGUCCUCUAUCCAAAGAAGAAAUGACAUUUCCGUCCCUGAGAGGUUUCUCAGC
rnacentral:rRNA from 1 species